AGAGUUUGAUCAUGGCUCAGAUUGAACGCUGGCGGCAUGCCUUACACAUGCAAGUCGAACGGUAACAGGCCGCAAGGUGCUGACGAGUGGCGAACGGGUGAGUAACACAUCGGAACGUGCCUGAUAGUGGGGGAUAACUACUCGAAAGAGUGGCUAAUACCGCAUAAGAUCUCAGGAUGAAAGCAGGGGACCGCAAGGCCUUGCGCUAACAGAGCGGCCGAUGGCAGAUUAGGUAGUUGGUGGGAUAAAAGCUUACCAAGCCGACGAUCUGAGCUGGUACUGAGAGGACGACCAGCCACACUGGGACUGAGACACGGCCCAGACUCCUACGGGAGGCAGCAGUGGGGAAUUUUGGACAAUGGGCGCAAGCCUGAUCCAGCAAUGCCGCGUGCAGGAUGAAGGCCUUCGGGUUGUAAACUGCUCUUGUACGGAACGAAAAGCUUCUCUCUAAUGACAGGGGUCCAUGACCGUACCGUAAGAAUAAGCACCGGCUAACCACGUGCCAGCAGCCGCGGUAAUAC
rnacentral:rRNA from 1 species